rnacentral:tRNA from 1 species
UUAAUUGAAGCCAAAAAGAGGCUUAUCACUGUUAAUGAUAUUAUUGAAUAAAUAUUCCAAUUAAA